rnacentral:lncRNA from 1 species
GUCUGGACAGUGCUGUCAAUCCCCUAUUUACAUUUCAUUUUGAAACAGGGUCUCACUAAGUCGCUAAGGUGUCCCAACUAGGCUUAAAUUUGUGACCCUCCACGGUGCUGGAGGUCCGAUAUGAAGUGGCCCCAGUCAGCCUGGAGGAGUCUAGGAAGGGAGACUGGACCCUCCUGAGGGAGGGGUGUCUCAUCUCCCAGGUUUUCGGCACCAGUUGUUAGAGUAAAUGAAGGCACGACAGAGACCACCAGAGCAGGCAAAAAUGAAGCAACAAGAGAGCUUUUAUUUCCAACUGGCUUUACUCGUGGGAUUCCCCCAAUGGAGGGUGUGGGAGUCUUGCCUUCCUCUCCAGAGUGUAACCAAAAGACACCUACCUCUAGGAGUGUCUAUGGAUGAUUGACAUUGUCUAUCAAACUAACGGGGGAAACCCCACCCCGGAUGUAGGGCACAGCCAAUAAGUUUGUAGCUUGGACAAUAAAACCGGAAGGACAAAGAUGUGUUUUCGUUUUGGAGGCGGUGUGGUUUUCACCAUGUUGGCUUCCAUGUUGUAUGCUGGACUCAUUCCCUCAGCCUUCUGAAAGAGGCUCAUCCUUGAA